GACUGCGGCUCCCGGCGUGCGCGCGGCGCAGGCGCGGGUCGGGCUGAGGGAGCUGCUCCGGCCGCCGCCCGGGAUUGACUGGAGUGCUGCUGCUUAGGAGCUGUAUUUCCUACGCUUUUCAUCAAGAUCUGGUUAAGAAUUAAGAGUUGGACUUUGAAGUAUUUGAGCAACUUGCUACUGCCCAAGUCAUGACGCUCCCAUUUCGAAAGGACUUGGACAAGUACAAAGAUCUCGAUGAGGAUGAAAUUCUUGGCAAACUUUCAGAAGAAGAACUGAAACAACUGGAAACUGUUUUGGAUGAUCUUGACCCUGAGAACGCUCUCCUGCCCGCAGGCUUCCGGCAGAAGGACCAGACUGCAAAGAAGGCCUCAGGCCCCUUCGACCGGGAGCGGCUCCUGGCCUACUUGGAGAAGCAGGCGCUGGAGCACAAAGACAGGGAGGACUAUGUGCCUUUUACGAGAGAAAAGAAAGGGAAAAUAUUUAUCCCCAAGCAAAAGCCUGUACAGUCUUUUGCAGAAGAAAAAUUCUCUCUUGAUCCAGAACUGGAGGAAGCCUUGACCAGUGCCACAGACACAGAAUUAGGUGACCUUGCAGCUAUACUGGGAAUGUCCAACUUGAUAACAAACAAUCAGUUCUGUGAUGUAGUAGGAAGCAGUAAUGGGAUUGACAAAGACAGCUUCUCAAAUAUAGUAAAAGGUGAAAAAAUGUUACCUGUUUUUGAUGAACCACCAAAUCCCACAAAUGUGGAGGAGACGCUGCAAAGGAUUAAAGAUAAUGAUUCUCGUCUUGUUGAAGUUAAUCUAAAUAACAUUAAGAACAUACCAAUUCCAACGCUGAAAGAAUUUGCAAAAGCCUUAGAAACCAACACACAUGUGAAGAAUUUUAGCCUGGCAGCCACCCGAAGCAAUGAUCCUGUUGCUGUUGCUCUUGCAGAUAUGUUGAGAGUAAACACAAAAUUGAAAAGUUUAAACAUAGAAUCAAACUUCAUCACUGGAGUUGGAAUUCUGGCACUAGUUGAUGCACUGAAAGACAAUGAAACGUUGACAGAGAUCAAAAUUGAUAAUCAGAGGCAGCAGCUGGGCACACUUGCAGAAGUAGAAAUUGCCAAAAUGCUUGAAGAAAACACCAAGAUCCUCAAAUUUGGAUACCAUUUCACACAACAGGGACCUCGAGCCAGGGCAGCUGCAGCUAUCACAAAAAAUAAUGAUUUGGUCUGGAGUAUGUGAGUAAAAGUUUCUGCAAAUACCUUUUCAUCUCUCCAGCCGUGAAGCUACAGAGACAGGUCACUGUGAAUACCCAGCUGGGUAUUCAGCACUGAAACUCAGAUGUUCCAAGUCUCUCAUCUCUGUCUUUUUCGCAAGAGAAGGGUUGAAGGAGACAAUUAGCAAUCCUACUGUCAAAACUCGGUGGAGUCAUCACGGUCAGCAGCGUGGGCUUUGGCAAUCGUGGACUACAUUGACCUGGCUUAGAAGGGAAAAGACUGGAAACCCCAUUCCUUUUAAAGCAAAGCUAUAUAAUCUGCUGGUAUGCAUCACGUUUUUCAUGGAGACACAGUAACUGCACCAGUCUCUGUACCAUGGUUUUUGACUGGUUUUUUUUUUUUUUAAAGAACUUUUUUUGUAUUUCAAGACUUCGGCUGAGCUUUCUACUUAAAAUAUAAUUGCAAAUCAAUGGUAUAAUUGUCUGUAGUCAAAGAAUGGGACAUUUAAGGUCAUUAAGAAGAUAAUGACCCAAUUAAAAUGUUUGUUAGAAAAUCCGGGGGUGCUUAUUUACGAGGAGGGCUGUGUCUAUUCCUGAAAACAAUGGGUUAGUGAUAAGGGAUUCUUCUCCCAACAGCUGGACUCAUUGUGUAGAGCUGUUCAGCUUUGUUCAUAUGCACUGAAGAGAAAUCUUUCACAGCAAUGUUAUUUGUAAUUCUACUGUUUUAUUUUUUAUUAGUUCUUGAUACUGUGAGUAAGUUUAAAGACAUCCCUUUAAGGCAAACAAAAAUAAACGGGCUAAGGACUUCUCCCAAGAGAUUUGAGGGACUCAUACAAAAGACUUGCAAAAAAAAAAAAAUUAGGAGCCUUGCAAAAUGACAGGGUUUUUUUAUUACAUCUAAAUCCUUUAAGUCUUUUUCAAAAGUGUGUCUUGCUCUGUAUCUAAACUGGAUAUAUUUUUAGGCUGAUUUCAUGUGUUCAUCAACAUUAUUUAGUUUAUAUUCUUUGUUUAAAAAUCUUUAUCUACGUUCACAAGUAUCAAUUUCUCUAGAAGUAGUGGACAUGCAUAUUUUAAAUUCUGCAUAACUGUACAGGAAGAGCAACCUUAAGUGUAAAACCACUGACUUAAAUUGCUGGCAAAUGAAAAAUCCUUUAUUUGAAGUUGUUGUAUUAAGCUAUUUGUACUUCAUAUACAUCUAUCAUUUUUUAAUACUGAAGUAACACUUUUGAGAAAGGAUUUUUCUAUUUUACUUAUGUCUCGAUGUUGGAACACUACCUAAGACAUGCAAAAAUUAAUCAAUCUGUAGUGUCAGAUCUGUAUGAUGUAGUAAUUAUUAAAGUAUUUAAAGUUGUUUAAGCAAACUAAUAAGGCAACAAGAAUCACUUCAACUUCUGCACAUAACCACAAUACACUUCUUUGAAAUAAUAUAAAAACCUAGAGGCUUUUUGGUUAGGUCUGCUUGGACUAUCCUGUACUAGUUUGCUUUGAGGUCACAAAAAUGUUCUAAAGGACUGCUUGGCUAUAUUUAUAACAACAGAGAAUUCAACUGACAACUCUUUUCAUUCAGAGAUCUUAAUGUGGUGAGCUUUUAUGUAUAGAAAACAUAUUUACAUGGAGGGGACUGAGAUGUUUGCAUCAGUUUGUAUAUACUAUAAGAACCAAACAGAGCAAGUCUCUGACACUGUGCCCACAUUGUAAUUUGCUGCAAAUCUUGUUUUGGAUCUUUAAAGACAGACUUUAUUCCAGAGGUGACUUCGAAUUUUACUGCAACAGUGAAUAUUAAACUAUAGUGCCUUCAAUGAGGAUGUAUAUAACUGGUUUAUACAUGUGGAAGAACUUUUUUUUUCCUAUUUCAAAAUCAGCCUUUUAUUAGAAUUACAAAUAAAUAUGUGCUCUUCAAAACAACUUGGAAUUAAUUCUGUUAAAACCAAAGACUAUACUUACUAUAACCUUGAAAAAACUAGGAGUGAUCUGAUGAGUAACAAAAAGGGCUUCCUUUGGUUUUCGCUUUCAUAAAUUUCCAAGAACUUUAUAGAUUUUGAUAAGCUCCUAUACAGUGUGCAUAAAGUCACAUUUAAGUGUCUUUUUUUACAGAUAGUGCUGUAUAAAGAUGGCCAAAGCAUGUCAUGUGCUGAGUUGCCUAAAGCUGUACUUUACUUUUUAUUUGCUAGGCACCAUAAUGAUUUUGUGUCAAAAAACAGGCUGUGAUGUCUUCCUUCAUUUGUUGAAGGGCUGCCAUAUUCAGAGAAUCUGUUCACGUAUUGUGAUUCUAUGAUGACUUAUUUUAUCAUUAUCUAACAAGAUUAGACAGUUAUCUCCUACUUGAAAAUUAAGGACAAAAUUGAAAGGCUGGAUUAUGGAAAUGAUAGCCCAAAUCCCUUCCUUCCUUUUGUUAAAUCAAGUUUAGCUGUUUAAUUAUUUACAUCCUAAUCAAAGGCAGGGGCUUUUAAGCUGCAGCUCUCAGGUGUCCUGUCACCGGUGAUAGUAGUGGACCUUAAUAAUUGGUUUAGCUCUGUAGACAGCAGGUAAGAAUUUGACUUUGUCAGCACUUUAAGGACAGGUAUCUGACAGACUGGGCAUAGAAAACUUUGUUGUUUUGGCAUGGUGCAUGGAACAAUUAACAACAACCACUUUUGUGCCUGCAGUGUGUAUCCUGUUUGGAAUAAAUGAGGGAAUUCAGUCUGUAGCCAGGAAUCAUACACAGUCUCAACAAACCGAGUGGAUGCUCUGAUGUCGUGCUGUCAGGUGUGGUGAGAUCCUGUGUAUGACUUCAUUGAUUCUGAGUGAAAGAGUGGUAUAGCUUUGAUAACCACUUACCAGAGACACAAGGUCUUUUUUCUAAGAGAUGAUAUUUUUUCAUAUGGAUUGUUUUUCAGCCUUAAUGAAGAAGUCAAAUGACUGCAUAUAUUGAUUCUGUUGGUUCCCAGCUAAGCAUGGAAACAUAGCCUAUAAUUCAAAGCAAUUAUCUAUUACUGUUGUAUUUUAAAGAAAUAGCCUCAUUCUCUCUACAGCUUGAGUAAUCUUGUGUUUGUAAGCUACAAACAAGCAAGUGUUCAAUUUAAAUUUCCAUUGAGGAAACAUGCAUUGAGUUUUUUAGCCUAUCAGCACUAUAUGCUGUCAGAUUGUAAACCAGUAAACGCUGUGGAUGAUUAAAGUACUGUAUUCUUGUUGUGGUUUUG